CCAAAAUGGCACUCUGUAUUUAAGGCUAAGGUGUGGUGAAAUCCAGAGAAAGAAAACAUGAGAGAAGCUGGAGGAUAUUCAGAGCUGGAGAUGCCAGAAAAUGUGCAUUUUCAGAGCUCAAGGUGCACGUAGGUGCAAAGGAAGCCCUGUGGCUCCAUGUGUCAGUGGGACUGGGAGCAGGUCCUGAGCUGCUAGAAGCCACUGUCUGAUGUUUGGACAUCUAUCCUUGAGUGUCUUACAAGUUCCCUUUUUUCAGAAAGUAACGACCAUCAAACCUCCCAGUAGGAGGUUCCUGCAUCGGAGAGGUAUAACCAAGCAACCUUUAGGACUUAAGCCCAACUCUGUAUUUUCUAUUCCAGAAGCACACUGGAUGAGGCUCUAGCUCUUUACAACUUUGAUCCAGAAACCCCAGUGGGGAUAUUAUUGAAAACAUCAGUGCAGACAGGUUCUGGCCCUGCCCUCAUAAGAGGAAAAAGCCCUUUCGCAGUUGAGGUCUUAUUAUAUUAAGUUAAAAAUUUAUAGCAUUUAACUAGGCUGUAACCAGUUAAUGUGACUCAGGAAAGGCUGUAAUGUGGAUGGAGGCAUUACCACUUUGCCUCACUGCAGAAGUUACUGUUUUUCCAGACCUCACAUGUGAGAGGAGCCCAGUUAAAGCACGUCUAGCAAUUAGGCUGUGAGGUCACCUGAUUAAGUGAGGGGCAUCAGCAGGGUUUCAGGCUGACUGACUUCAGCUGGGCUGUGGCUAACAGCCUGAAACAUUUCUUUACCAGUGCUGUUGGGCUGAGCUCCUUCCCUACGACUUAUCAGCACCAGCAUUUCAGUAAAGCUAUGAGCGGCAGCUCUUACUGCCUGGGAACAAACUCAUGCGGCCCAGUCAGGAGGAUGGCAGCUCUACACAACCGCAGGGAGUUCCUCUGGGGCCCAGUCCGAAGCACCGGUCUGGCAGCUGCGACGUACCAAUGCUUCCCGCUCCCGUGCUGUGUGAAGCAAGAGCAAAGCACUGCUCGUGCCCCAGGGGCAUCUGAAGUCAAGAAGAAGGCAGAAUGCAGGAGCACGUCACUCACAAGAGGGUGGAAGGAGCAGCACUGGUAGUCAGAUGGGUGAAAAAGAACUCUGCUUCAUAUCUGAACAAAAUCGUAGCUCCUCCACUUGAUUUCUGCAUGCAAACAUCAUUUGUGUGAGGAUGGACUGCUCCAGCUGUCCGUGCUGAGCUGCAGCCGAGGGCAGGGAUUGCUGCCCAUUGCUGUUACUGGGGUGUGUGUUUGUUACGCGUAGCCAGAUAUCUGCAGCCAGCCGGACCUGACGUGCCUCAGCGACUCUUAGAAGCAUGUUUUCUCCCCACUUGCACGAAUGUUUCUUCUGUUGUUACACAGUAUCUAACAUAAGUAAUAUUUCAUCUAAGAGGAGCGUGAUUUCUUCCAGACUUCCACGUGGACCUUGGAGCGUGCAGCUCUGCCAGCUGUGGGCUUCGUGCUGAUCUCAGGGUGCUUUUGUGAGCUUACGAACUGCAAUGUCAGGGUACAGCAGGAGCAAAUAUGCUGUCACUGUGGGUGCAGGUGCCGAUUUGCCUGGGGGAAAGUCGACUUCUUUCAGUUCUUCGAUUUUGCGGUGGAUUUCUCUCCUAUUAUUAUUUCCUUUCUAUUUAGCGUAGGUAUUAAAAUGCUAGUUUAAAU
rnacentral:lncRNA from 1 species